ACGCACGCUGGCGGCGUGCUUAACACAUGCCAGUCGAACGGAAAGGCCCUGCUUUUGUGGGGUGCUCGAGUGGCGAACGGGGGAGUAACACGUGAGUAACCUGCCCUUGACUUUGGGAUAACUUCAGGAAACUGGGGCUAAUACCGGAUAGGAUCUCCUGCUGCAUGGUGGUGGUUGGAAAGUUUCGGCGGUUGGGGAUGGACUCGCGGCUUAUCCGCUUGUUGGUGGGGUAGUGGCUUACCAAGGCUUUGACGGGUAGCCGGCCUGAGAGGGUGACCGGGCACAUUGGGACUGAGGUACGGCCCAGACUGCUACGGGAGGCAGCAGUGGGGAGCAUUGCGCAAUGGGCGGAAGCCUGAUGCAGCAACGCCGCGUGCGGGAUGACGGCCUUCGGGUUGUAAACCGCUGUCGCCUGUGACGAAGCGUGAGUGACGGUAAUGGGUAAAGAAGCACCGGCUAACUACGUG
rnacentral:rRNA from 1 species